rnacentral:lncRNA from 1 species
UCAUGCCCCGCCCCGGAACCACUACCAAUUUGGCACGAUUCGGGCGCGCCGGGCGGACCGCCGAACGGACAGCACCUCCCCUGCCCGCCCAAGGCUCAACAACAGGAAUGUAUACAAGAAUUUAUCCAGGAAUUCAAAUUCUAAACAUACACAUUCAACGGGGCACAAACAGUGCCAACAACUAAGAGCAAGUAAUCCACGAGAUAUACAAGUGAAAUAAAGAGAGUACUUUACUAACUAUUACAAUAGUUUUGAAUUCUUUUACAUGUACAUCUUUUCCCCAAAAUGAAUACAUUUGUUCAUCAAAAUACAUAGCUCUCCAAUCCUCACCUACAAGAA